rnacentral:lncRNA from 1 species
UUCCUUCUUUGAACAGCUUCAAGAAAUCCAUUAAGUUAACUCGCCGGCAAAAGAACUGAAUUAUGCUCCUAGAAUUCCAUCUGUCAGCCUGGCAUUUCCAUCCAUAAAGAUACCAAUUGCUUCUACCGCUUGCUUCUUGACUCUUUUCUUGCACUUUUACAUAAGCAAUUUAUGCGUAUGCUCCUCUACUUUCCAUCUUUGCCCUUUAUUUUUGUCAAAAGUUUGUUUCCCUCAAUGUUCUCUACCAUUAUUAUUUUGCUUCUAAAAUACUCUUGUUGACAGUUGGCUAAGAAAUUGUUGGUCAUGGAUCUCCGUGAUUGCUACGACCUUACUGAUAUCCCCGAUUUAUCUGGGUUUGAUAUGUUGGAGAAACUGAUUCUUGUGCAUUGCAAAGGACUUCUGAAGAUUCAUAAGUCAGUCGGUGACCUGACCAAGUUAAAAUAUUUGAAUCUAAGUGACUGCUCCAAUCUUUUGGCAUUCCCGAGUCAUGUCUCUGGAUUGAAAUGUCUCGAAACGCUUGUCCUCUCUGGUUGUUCAAAGCUCAAGGAACUGCCGACAGACCUUGGUGGCAUGAGAUCUUUGAAGGAGCUUUUCAUUGAUUACACAGCCAUAGCGCAACUUCCUCAGUCAAUCUUUCGUCUCACAAAAUUAGAGAAUUUCAGUUUAAAAGAUUGCAGUGCACUGGAACAACUUCCUGAUUGCAUAGGAGAACUGGGUUCUCUAAAGAACAUUGCUCUUGAUGGUUCGGCAAUCAAAGGACUUCCUAAUUCAAUAGAGUCUUGGACAGAACUUGAGAGACUAACUCUUGUGCUGUGCAGAUCAGUCACGUCACUUCCUGAUACGAUUGGGAAUCUCAGAUCAUUGACACAUCUUUUCCUUGGUUGCAGUUCGCUGACACAGCUACCUGCUUCUGUGGGUCACUUAUCCCGGUUAAAAGACCUGUCCCUCAAUCGUUGUAAACAUCUAAGCCAAUUGCCUAACACAAUUGGUGGCUUGUCAUCUUUGGGUUUGUUAGAUUUAGCAGGAACAGGAAUUGAAGAACUUCCUAGUCAGGUUUGGGCUCUGAGCAUGCUUGAAAAACUUCGGAUGACAUCGUGCCGUUCACUUAAAACAUUACCAGAGUCCAUUGGAAAUAUGUCGAGCCUCACCAAUCUGUGCUUGUAUAACACCAUGACAACAACACUGCCAGAGUCCAUAGGAAUGCUUGAAAGGCUUCGCACCCUAAGACUAAGUCAAUGCACACAACUCAAGCAACUACCUGCUUCACUUGGGAAGUUGAAAAUGUCUGGUUUACUUUGUAAUGCCAGAUACUGGUGUCACAGAAUUACCCCUGGAAUUUGGGAUGCUCACAAGCCUGACAUCAUUGAUAAUGAGAAAAGAGCUGAAUAGAGAACAGCCUCUAAAACAUAUCGUUCUUCCAGAGUCCUUUGCAAAUCUCUGUUCAUUGAAAGAGAUGGAUGCUCAUGCUUGGGGAUUUUCAGGAAGUAUCUCUGAUAAUUUUGAAAGGUUGUCGUCCUUGGAGGAAUUGAAUUUGGGUCGGAACAAUUUUUCUAGCUUGCCAUCCAGUCUGAGGGGCCUUGUGCUUCUAAAAAAGUUCGAUUUGUCUCAUUGUAACAAGCUCAUAUAUCUGCCUCCACUUCCCUCAAGCUUGAUUGAGUUGAAUAUGGCAAACUGUACUGCAUUGGAGCGUAUAUAUGACUUGACAAAUGUGGAAGGUUUAAAGGAGCUGAAUUUUAUCAGUUGCAGCAAUUUAGUUGACAUCCCCGGUCUCCAGGUAUUGAAGUCUCUAAGAAGUCUAUUUUUGGGUGGUUGCAAAGCGUGCUUGCCAGCAGUGAGGAGAAGAAUUGGAAAGGUGAAAGACAACUCAUAGCUCCCACUUUGAGAGAUUAUUUUACUGAAGCAAAAGAUAAUUGAAGAUCAGUUCUCAGUUUUUCUCCCUUUGUUUAGUAUGUUCAAUUAUGAAUGCAGAAAAUUUGACCUUAAAUGUGGUUUUCAUGGAAAAUUCAGGUUGCUUUAAAGCAUUUGUACCACUUGAGUGUCCCUGGGAGCGAGAUUCCACGAUGGUUUUCUCAGGAAAUUCCUCAUUUUUCUGCUCCAAAGAACCGCGAGAUUAGAGGAAUAAUUUUUGCUGCUGUUGUCUCUCUGGACAGUGUACACCCGGGAAACAUUCUACUGCCAGAAGUCGUGGGCAUUAAAGGAAGGCUUCUCAGGCUUGAAGUUCCAAUACACACCACGGUGUUUAACCUGAUGGGGGUCCCCGACACAAGUGAGGACCAGCUUUACUUGAUUAGAUUUCCGGAAUUCAAGCCAAUGGUUCGGAUGUUAAAAGAAGGAGACAGGAUAGAUAUAGUGCUGCGAGACCCGCCCUACUUUCCUGGGCUCUCACUGAAAAAGCGCGGGAUUUAUCUGGUUUUCGAGAACGAUGAUGAUUAUGAUGGUAAUGAAGAAUGGUUAGAGGAAUCCCAGAAGUCAGUGUCUCAGAAACUGGCCAAGUUCCUCAGCUCCUUGUGAAAUAUAUUUUUCUUUAUCCUCAUAAUGAAGUGACAAAAAGCUACUCUAAACUUCUACUUUAGAAACUCUUUCAUCACUCAACCACUUCACAACAUGCCUCUUUCGGCGAUAUUAGGUCAGGGUUCAUUCCUAUAAUAAAAGGACUUGUGUAUAUAAGGUGAUGAUACACCUUUUCUUGCAAACAGCUUUCGCCAACAGAAAAGAAUAUGACACAGCUCCAAAAGAUAUUUUCUGCCUUUCUCUUGCGUAAGACCAAAUGAUUAAGCACCAAGCCACAAGUACUUACGCAAGGAGUCUAUAAUUACUUCUGGGUUUGAAGAGGAUCAUAAGAAAAUAAUUUAGAAGUUUGGAUCACUUUUGAAAACUUGAGAAAAUGUUCCUACUUCAACUAAUGAGGUACUUUCAACAAUCACGCUUUCAGCAAUUCCUAAUAGCCAUCCAACUUUUUUGACUGAGGCUCGGUUGGUUUGUCAUACUCAAACAACUUAGGGAUGCAACAGCGAUGGCUCCCAGAGUAGUGCCCAAAAUAAACUAACAGAUUUCCCACUCAUCCAGACAAAAAGCAACCAGGUGAAUUAAUGAAAUAUAACAAAGGAAUUCCUUAUUGCCGCCAACCAAGCAAUGGCAAUGCAAGAAAUGAGCAGCGAGCCGGUUGUGAAUAAAAGGUGAGCCACCGUUAUGAAGAAAAGCUUUGACAAGAAACAACGAACAGGAAGACAUAACAAGACGUUUCCUGAAAAGCACGCGAGACUUCACGGUUUGGCAACCAUAAAUGCACGUACAGAAUGAACGUGAGCAGUAUUCCUACCGCUCUGAAACAAGCGAUACUCUGCAUCUGGAUUGAGUCUGAAAGUCUGGUUUCAUUGCAUCCCUCCCUUUGCUUCUUGUUCAGGGAUGUGUACGACCCUUUGUCGACAAGAGCAAUUUUGAAAGAGAGAACCCCACAGAUCGUAAGUUUGCGAUUCUUAUAAUAAUAAACUCAAACAGUCUAAAAAUUUCAUUUCGCAGUAGUAAUAAAAGGAUAAAUGUACAUCCGAGCUAGUAACUAAGCAAUGCACGGACACCCAUUUGCUUUAAUUUUUGGUAUUAAAUUUUGGUAUUCUAGAAUAGAAUCGAAACUUUCUGUGAUCUAAGCAAUUGUAAUUUAGUAAUAAUAUAAGUUGGAAUAUUGAUAACCAAAUUGGAAAUAUCAAAAUGUCUCCAAUUUCAUGAGUUUAAACUCCAACCGAUAGAAAGAAAAAAGAAUCUGACGAAAAAGAAGAAAAUGUAGGUAAUUCAAUUAUUAGAUGGCUAUGGCAAAAAAAAUAAAAAAUUGUUAGAUGGCAAAUGGAAAUGAACUAAAGAGUUUCUCAUCAGAUUGUCAAACUUCAAUCUUAAUCGCCUGAUUGGGUGAUGCACAUUAAUUGGAAUUCAAUCAUCUUUUUGGCGAAAGAGAGGUUCCCAAAUUUAUUAUUGAGAAAAAUCACUUGCUUACUUAGCCAAUAUAUAUAUAUAUAUAUAUAUAUAUAUAUAUAUAUCAACACCACCAAAAACGUCCUCGGAAAUUGCAAACUUUUGAUCACUUAAUAAGUAUAUGGAGGUAUAUUUGCUUAUAAUGGUAAAAGUCACCCGAAGAGUAAACGAGUAAAAUCAUAUUGAACAUGUUGUUAAGAAAGAUGUGAUUCUUUGGUAAGUGAAGUUAACCAAGAGAAGGAAGAGAACCUUGUUAUUAGAGCGUGUUUUCGAUGUAAUUGAAAGGUAAGAAUAUUGUGAGAAUAGAAUAUCUAGGUCUUGAGCUCCACCUAGGAGAACAAAGAUAGGAUAACAGGAGAAGCAAAGUAGACAAGAAAGGAACAGGAGAAGAAAGCAAGCAAAAGAGAAAAGCGAUGCUUUAUUGUUUUCCUUGAUAGUUUGGAGAAGGGAUAUGUCCAAUGUAAAUCCUAAAGUAAAAUGGAAUCCAAAAGUUUUCAAAAAUUGUAAUUUAGUACUAAAACUUUUUAAAUUGGUACAAUCGAAUUCUUCCGUUAACAUAAUCAAUUUGUCUAAUGGGAAAUAUUGAUGUGAUAUUUUUAAAUUAAUUUAUUCUUAUCUUAUUUAAAUAAUUUUAAAAAAUAAAAAAAUUAGGGAAAAAAAAUAAACAAAGGGUAAGGACUCGCGGCUGGGUGCUAUCGCUACCAUUGCCCAUCAUUGGCUCUGAGUGAGGCUCACCUAGACUAGGUUGAGCGCACCCAAAUCUGGGUGACGCUGGCCCUUCUCUAGGGUUGGCGACCAUCGCCUACCUUAGGCAAGGCCUCACCAAUGAUUGUUGCUAGGCCCAAGCAAUGCCUUGCCAACCCCUUUAGCAAUGGGCAGUAGGUUGCAGCAACGAUAGCCCCCCUACGAUGUGUUCCUAACCUACUUUUUUUCCAUCUUUUAUAAUUAUUUUAUAUUUUUUUUUCUGUUUUUAGUAUUGUUUAAAUAAGAUUUAAAGGAAAAAGUAAUAAAAAGUCUUGUGUAGGAGAGAAAUUAAUUUUAAAAUGUCAACUCAUCAUUCUCCAUUAAAUAAUUUGACGAUGUUAAUGAAAAGACUCAAUUACACUAAUUUAAUAGGUUUUAAGAUUUAAUUACAUUAUUUGAAAAUUUUAGGAUUUAGUUGUACUCUUAGCACAAAUUUUUAAGCUUGUAAUGCAUAUAUCCCUUUAAAUGAUCUCUUCGCCGAAUCGAGCUUGCGUCCACCGUUGAUUUUGUGCACUUCACGCGUCCCUAAAGUUGGGUCCCAUCAAAUAAAUUAUUAUCAGGAAUUCGGUGGAUAGAGUUACCCAUUAGUCGAAAAAGAAAGACAUGAAACCCAUCUUUGUUGAACUUAGCACUAAACAAUCUAGUGUAGAUGAAUGCGCACAUGUGGAAAUAUUGAAAUUUAGAUAUCGAACAAAUAAGACAAACAUGUUCAAGCAUUCCUCAAGUACGUAUUUUUUUUGGGAUAAGUGUAUUAAAAAUCAUAUUAUAAACUAUCAUAAAAGUGUAAUUGAACUUAAAACUUACAAAAAGUGCAAAAAGUUAUAGGACCUGUCAAAUUUCAAAGAAUUAUUUCCGUCAAUUCCAUCCAACUUAUUGUGUAACUUUUUUUAUCAUGAAAAAAAGAAGAAGUCAUUUUGAUCUAAAAUUGAUUUUUAAUAUAAAUAUUAUUUAAGUUAAAUUAAAAAUAAGAUAUAUUAUAAAUAAACAAAAAAGGAGCGAGGGUCGCCAGUCAUACCCCACCAUCGCCUGCCUUUCCAAGCGAUGGUUGGGCAAUGACAGAUAGGGGUGCAAGUUUCUCGACUCUCUCCUUAUUUUUAAAAUUUAAUUUGAAUACAAAUAAUAAUAAAAAAUAUUGAAAGAAGAUCUUGCCGCUUAAGAUAGAGAAAAUAUUGAAAAAGAUCAUGUCAGCAUUUUCUGUUAGACGGUAGAAUUAAUGAGAGGGCUCUAUAUAUUAAUUUGAUAAAUUUUAUGAUUUGAUGAUACUUUUUAGAUAAAUUUUAUGAUUUAAUCGUGCCCAUGAUGAAUUUUAAAAUUUUUCUUUUGAUUGAAGUGGAUUUGAAUAUUUGAAUAAAAAGUUAAGAGAGGCCACGUACUUCACUUCGGACUUAGUAGAAAUCGCUAUGCACGCCACGUACACGCGCCAAAGGGAACAGGAACCGUCCGUACGAGCAUCGCUACGAAGCGCUUUAUACCGUUUUUAAAGCUGGCCGGUAGCCUCUGCAAUCGCCUCCUCUGUCAAGAGACCUCGCGAAAGCGAAGACAACGACGAUGGUGCUGGAAGAUCCCGAAGAGGACGACGCCCUGUCCUCCUCCCGCUAUCGCUACGACGUCUUCCUCAGCUUCCGCGGCGCCGACGCGCGCCACGGCGUCACCGAUCGCCUCUAUCGCGAGCUCGUGCUCAGCGGCGUCCGCGCGUUCCGCGACGAGGAAGGCCUCGAGAGAGGGGAGGAGGUAUCGUCGGGCCUCAUGGAGGGGAUCGACGACUCGGCGGCCGCCGUGGCCGUCAUCUCCGAGAACUACGCCGAGUCGAGGUGGUGCCUGGAGGAGCUCGCGUACAUCGUCGAGCGCCGGAAGCUGUUGCUCCCGGUGUUCUACAACGUGGACCCCUCGGACGUGCGGAAGCAGGCAGGCCCGUUCGAGCGGGGGUUCCGGAAGCAGGAGGGGAAGCACGGAGCGGAGAAGGUCCGCCCGUGGAGGACGGCCAUGGAGAAGGCUGGUGGAAUCUCCGGCUGGGAUUCGAGGGGCAGGUGAGUAAUCAUAACCGCGCGAUUGUCUCCUUCGUACUUACUCCGAAAGUUCAUGAUGAAUACGGUUUAGAAUCAGCAGUCGAUUGAACUUAAACCCUUCUUCUUCUUCUUCUUCCAUCUUUGAUCGGUUGCUCCUGAUCUGAACUCGGAAACUGUGCUGCAGUUGCUGUUCAUUUCUAGUCAUUUCAUCAAAACCGUAUUCGGGGAAGUCAGACAUACUCGAUCUAUUUAAAAAGUUUUAAAUGUCCGUAAUGAAUUCCAAAGCCUCCGUCCCUUCCGGGCGCUCUGCAGAGGGUGACUCCGAGCAGUCUCUUCUGUGUAUUCGAAGAGACAAAUCGAAAUGACGUGAGAGUUCGGAAAAGGGGACGUACGAUGAAGGAAUAAAGAAAAGAAACUGCGUAAUAAGAAAGCUGGCAAAGGGUAUCUUGCUUUGUAGUAGUGCGUCGCACAUGGUGGUUUAAAGAACUCCGAUUCGGACAAUUAGGAGCAACACCGGCGCAUUUUGUGCUGAGGAACACGCGAUCUAUUAAAGUAUCCAUCGAAAGUACUUCUCUGUCUCUUUAGCCUUCGGCCUCGAGUUUUUCAUCCUUCGAGCUUGCUGCUGCUUCCUUUAGGGUAUGCAAUCCUUUGCUCUGAUACCAAUUAUUGGUUAUGCAACCCUCUGCUCUAUACCAAUUGUAGAGUGCGCAGCUUUCACUCUAAUACAGGCUAUGCGGAAGCUUUGUGGUGAUAACACGAGAGAAUUGUAAUAGACAAUUCGAGACACUUAUUAUACUAAACUGCGGUACAAGUAUAACUCUCAAAUAAUGUCUCUUACACAAUUAUUACAAUACAAUUUCUCUCACACCACAUACCCAAAAUACUCACACUCAAACUAACUAAUACAAGCCUACACUCAGUUAUUAUAUUUUCCUUUCUUAAUCACGGAAGGAUAGCUUGCUCACACAAAGCUACUGAGGCUAUGGCGCCUCUCUCUUAGAAGUUCACCGUUGCACCUGGUGACUUCCUAUUCUGAAGCUCUCACUGCUGGAGGCUUUCCCUGAAGCUCACCUUUGCACCUGAUGGCUUCCUUUCUGGCUUGAGGUUCUCCACCUGCGUGUGGUGUGAUGUCCUCUCUCUGGCUUGAGGCUCUCUCCUUUAAAUUUUUAAAAAUAAAUAAAUUAAAUUUUUAAUUAAAAAUUAAUCAAAGGGAAAUAAUGAAAAACACUCACCCAAUUAAACACAGAUAAAGUACAGGUACAUUUUCAAAUAAUCUGAAAAAAAUCACAUUUUCAAAUUUUCCUAAUAACGAUUACACACAAACUAUACCAAAGAGAAUGUCUAAUAAAUUCAAUAACUUUGACAUUGUGUCCCUCAACUAUGCGGAUGAUAAAGUGUCUUCGUUGUCCUCUUGUUCAUGUUGGCUACUUUUGGCCGCACUCAUUUCUUACGAUAAUCGAUCAUAUCCGUAGACAGCCAUUUCUACAUCUUUCGCUAUCAAGCUACGCCUGUUGUCUGGUAUGAUCCACUGGAAUUUCCUUUACAUACUGAACGUUCUUCUCCAUCUAGCUAGCACUGCAAUUGCUUGGGGGUUUUUUCCGGGGAAGGGUCUUGAUGGAGACUAGGUUAAAGCGUUUGCCCCUGAAAUUCCUCCCAACCAUUGAGUCGUUGCAUCUCGUCAUCAUCAAAUUUGCCUUGUUGUGAGGUAUAGUUGGCACGUAUAUGUUGUUGUCACGGAAUUCACUAAACGAGUCCUAAGAUAAUUGCACGGUGAAAUCCGGAUUGAGUUAAGAUGAUCGGAAAUUAUUACUGUUAUCGUCGUUCCCUAUUAUGAUAUUUAGAACACAAUCAAAUCGUUGUAAGAAGAAAGGAGAUGAAAUUGGGAGAAAGUAUUAAAAAAAGUUAUAAAUCUAUUAUAUUAAUAUCUAAACCUUUUGAUUAGACCAAUUUUAUCCUAAACCCUUUUAUAUUGAUACAAAUUCAAUCCAUGUAACUAAUUUAGGUCGGAAAUUGUUGACGUAAAUAUUGGUUGUCCUACGUUGUCUUAUGCGGCAUGGCUGGUGAUGGAGAAUGGCCGACGCUUACUUUGACAUUUUAAAAAUAAUUUUUAAUAGUUCUUUUUAAUUUUUUAUUAAUUUUAUGUUUGCCUCUUUUCUUUUUCUUUUUUUCCAUCAAUGGCCAGCGAGCAUUGGGUAAGGGUUGCGAGCUUGCCAGCCACUGGAUGAGGGUCACAGCCAAAUAAGUAUACCCAUGUUACAUUUACUCCAAACUACCCAAAACAUGUAUGAUCAUACCACAUUUACCAUAAAGUGUAGUUAAUCUGAGAUUUUUUUAGUGUAAAUGUGGCAUAGAGAUUUUUUGUGACACAAAAAUGAAUUUGGAGCAAUCGUGGCAUGAACAUACCAAUUUGGGAUUGUGAAUGGUUUUCAUUUAAUUUCAAAUACAACACUUUCAUUCAAGUGCAUGCUUAUGAUAUACACAUUGCUCAGUAUACACCAAUUUUGCAUAACAACUUUUGUGUAGCUAGCAUUACUAAAUAAGUUAUCACAAUGGUAAAUAAUGAUAAUGAUAAUUCGUAGUCAUUUCUGUUUUGUCAGUGUAAUACUCCAUUAACGAUAAAAAGAAUGAGCACAUGCAUAAGCUCCAAGCCAUUAACGGUAAAAAGAAUUGGAAAAAAGAAUUCCAUCAUAUUUGCGGAACGAAACACAAACUAGAAGUGCCUCGUUUCAACUUUAUAUUCAAUUAAUUUUGCAUAUUUAAUUGAUGUCUACAGUUUGUAACCUAAUAAUCAGUUGGAACUGUAUAAGAUUAAUCACUCAAGACUCAUAUAGAAGAAGACAUCUCUUUCCCAGCACGUGGAUGAACAUGUUUUAUAUUCUGAGGUUUGGAAAAUGGAAAACAUGACCUUGACAGAAGAUCAUCCACAUCCUUGAUGCAGAAGUUGGCUGCUAUGUAUUCAAUUUCUAAAUCAAUGAAUGCGAAUUCAAAAAAUCGUUUUGGAAGAACAUUUCCUAAAGUGCAUACCUGAGUGAAUGUUUAAAUAAGCGAGCUGUAUUCAAGCAUCCGGGAAUUCGCCACAAUUCCAUUCUCUAAGUUAAUCCUCAUCUCCACUUUACAUGGUGACCACGUCCAUGACAGGGACGAAGCGGAGCUAAUCCAAUCUCUAGUGAAGAGAAUAUUGACUAAGUUGAAGAACACGCCCUUGGGAGUGGCCAAGUAUCCCGUUGGACUCGAAGGUCGCUUGGAAGAGCUGAAGAGGAUUGUGGACGUUAAUUCGAAGGGUGUCCUGAUCUUGGGAUUCCAUGGAAUGGGAGGAAUCGGCAAGACAACCCUUGCCAAGGCUCUUUACAACAAGCUCGUGGUUCACUUCCGACGCCGCAGCUUUGUUCCAAAGAUAAGAGAGGCUUCCCGGAUGGAAGGUGGCUUAAAAUCUCUCCAAGCCAAACUGAUCAGUGAUCUUACCUCAAGUAAGGAGUCAGGACAGCGAAUCGAGAAUGUUGGAGCCGGCAUCAAUCUGAUAAGAAGUCUAGUGUUCGAGGAACCCGUUUUCAUUGUGCUCGAUGAUGUGGACGAUAUAAGGCAAAUUAAGGCACUGGCCGGUAGUCGAGACUGGUUCUACGAAGGAACUCGAAUCAUCGUGACCACAAGAGACAAAGAGGUCCUCCCGGAGAGCAUAGUGAAUGUGUUUUAUGAGGUGAAGGAGUUGAUUUUUCCAGAGGCACUUAAGCUGUUCAGUCUCCAUGCCUUUGGAAGGGACCAACCGACUAAAAGUUUAAAGGGCGUGGCAGAGAAAAUUGUGGAUCUCACGGGGAGACUCCCGCUGGCUCUGGAAGUAUUUGGAUCCUUCUUGUAUGACAAGAGGAGGGCAGAGGAAUGGCAAGAUGCAUUGCAGAAGCUGGGACAGAUUCGACCCGGCCAUUUGCAAGAUGUUCUUGGGAUAAGCUUUAAUGCGCUCGAUGACCAAGAGAAGUGUGUUUUCCUCGAUAUCGCAUGCUUCUUCGUUCAGAUGAAGAUGACUAGAGAAGAUGCUAUAUAUGUAUUGAGGGGUUGUGGUCUAAAUCCUGAGAUAACAAUCAAGGUUCUAAUAGCAAAAUCGCUCCUUAAAAUCAUUGAGGAUGGCGCCUUGUGGAUGCAUGACCAAAUAAGGGACAUGGGAAGAGAGAUUGUUCAGCGAGAAAACUAUGAACACCCUAGUAUGCGCAGCAGAUUAUGGGACCGCGAUGAAAUCCUCACAGUUCUGAAGAACAAGAAGGUAGGAAGACUGUUUUGCUAUCUUGACUCGUACAAAUGAAUUGCCUAAACCUUAGGAGCAUUUAUCUGUCACAAACUUCUAUUGUGGUUGAUCCAAAAAUCUUCUUAAAGUAGAUUGAUAACCAAUGCAGCCUCAGUUCAAUAGUUGUUUCUUCCCAUACAUAUGUUGCUUACUUGUCCAACAAACACGCUACUAAGGUUUUUAAGCUUUUGUAUCUAUCGAAUACUUGCGUCACUCCUUAUUCACAAAUAUAUAUAUAUAUGCAUUUCCGCCUUCCCUUUUUGUGAACUUGAUUUGAUUUUAUGUCUGAAACUUUUUUGUGUCUAAUGGUCACAGGGAACAAGAAAUAUUCAGGGAAUUGCAUUGGACAUGGGAAAAAGGGAGGAGAUAAGCACGACAGCUCGACUAAGACAUUACUUCAUGAUGCACCGCUCUUUUCAGUCAGCAUUUGCAUACUUCAGGGAAAUGUGCAAGAAAUGUUUUCCCCGGAAGCAAGACAAUGAUAAGGUGGUGACUCUGCAAACUACUUGUUUUACACAGAUGGUCGACCUUAGGCUGCUUCAAAUUAAUUAUGUGGCACUGGAUGGAGGUUUCAAGCAUAUACCAGCAGAACUGAAGUGGCUUCAGUGGAAAGGUUGCCCUCUGAAGACAUUUCCUUUCGACAGUUGCCCCCAGGAUCUUGCGGUCCUUGACCUCCCAGAAAGCAAAAUCACUAGUAUGCUGGAGCGGAGACAUUCUAAGAAACAGGUAUGCUAUAUGAAAAUCUCAUGACAUGUAGAUGAUUCUAGAUUCUUUUUGCAGUGUUGCCUAGACCUUAGUAGCAGUCAACUAUUUUGAUGUGACGAGAGUAUGUAGCACUGGAGUCAACAUCCGGCCUCGUGAUAAUGAAUGCCUAAGUACCUUCUAUACAAGAUUUGUGGAUAAUCGAUGAAGGUGUUAUAUUGUUCAGGCUGAACGCAGAGAAUAGGUGCAGAAGGUGACAAACCCUUUGACAUGGGUGCGCUUCUUAUUCUGUCUUCCUUCUCUGAACAGCUUCAAGAAAUCCAUUAAGCUUACUCACUGGCAAAAGAACUGAAUUAUGCUCCUAGAAAACCAUCUGUCAGCUUGGCCUUUCCAUCGAUAAAGAUACCAAUUGCUUCUACCGCUUGCUCCUGGACUCUUUUUCUUGCACUUGUACAUAAGCGAAUUACGCAUAUGCUCCUCUACUUUCCAUUUUUGCCUUAUUUUUGUCAAAAGUCUGUUUCCCUCAAUAUUUUCUACCAUAAUUAUUUUGCUUCUAAAAUACUCUUGUUGACAGUUGGCUAAGAAAUUGUUGGUCAUGGAUCUCCGUGAUUGCUAUCACCUUACUGAUAUCCCCAAUUUAUCUGGGUUUGAUAUCUUGGAGAAACUGAUUCUUGUGCGUUGCAAAGGACUUCUGAAGAUUCAUAAGUCAGUCGGUGAC